UACCUACGGGGCGCAGCAGUGGGGAAUAUUGCGCAAUGGGCGAAAGCCUGACGCAGCGACGCCGCGUGAGUGAAGAAGGUCUUCGGAUUGUAAAGCUCUUUGAUCAGGGACGAACAGAUGACGGUACCUGAAGAACAAGCCACGGCUAACUACGUGCCAGCAGCCGCGGUAAAACGUAGGGGGCGAGCGUUGACCGGAAUGACUGGGCGUAAAGGGUGCGUAGGCGGCAUAAUAAGUUAGAAGUGAAAUACCCAGAGAUUAACUCGGGUGCUGCUUCUAAGACUGUUGAGCUUGAGUGCGGGAGG
rnacentral:rRNA from 1 species